rnacentral:rRNA from 1 species
AUUGAGCGCUGGCGGCAUGCUUUACACAUGCAAGUCGAACGGUAACAGGGUGCUUGCACCGCUGACGAGUGGCGAACGGGUGAGUAAUGCGUCGGAACGUGCCGAGUAGUGGGGGAUAACGCAUCGAAAGGUGUGCUAAUACCGCAUACGUACUGAGGUAGAAAGUGGGGGACCUUCGGGCCUCACGCUAUUCGAGCGGCCGACGUCUGAUUAGCUAGUUGGUGGGGUAAAGGCUCACCAAGGCGACGAUCAGUAGCGGGUCUGAGAGGAUGAUCCGCCACACUGGGACUGAGACACGGCCCAGACUCCUACGGGAGGCAGCAGUGGGGAAUUUUGGACAAUGGGCGCAAGCCUGAUCCAGCCAUGCCGCGUGUCUGAAGAAGGCCUUCGGGUUGUAAAGGACUUUUGUCCGGGAGCAAAUACCCAGUGCUAAUAACGCUGGGGGCUGAGAGUACCGGAAGAAUAAGCACCGGCUAACUCUGUGCCAGCAGCCGCGGUAACAC